UACGUAGGGUGCAAGCGUUGUCCGGAAUUAUUGGGCGUAAAGGGCUCGUAGGCGGUCCGUCACGUCGGGAGUGAAAUCCUGGGGCUUAACCCCAGAACUGCUUCCGAUACGGGCAGACUAGAGGUAGGUAGGGGAGAAUGGAAUUCCUGGUGUAGCGGUGGAAUGCGCAGAUAUCAGGAGGAACACCGAUUGCGAAGGCAGCUCGCUGGAACGUUACUGACGCUGAGACGCGAAAGCGUGGGGAGCAAACAGG
rnacentral:rRNA from 1 species